rnacentral:rRNA from 1 species
UACGGGGGGGGCAAGCGUUGUUCGGAAUUACUGGGCGUAAAGGGCUCGUAGGUGGCCAACUAAGUCAGACGUGAAAUCCCCAGGCUCAACUUGGGAACUGCGUCUGAUACUGGAUGGCUUGAAUUCGGGAGAGGGAUGCAGAAUUCCAGGUGUAGCGGUGAAAUGCGCAGAUAUCAGGAGGAACACCGGUGGCGAAGGCGGGUCUCUGGGCCGAUACUGACGCUGAGGAGCGAAAGCGUGGGGAGCAAACAGG